rnacentral:rRNA from 1 species
UGGGGAAUUUUGGACAAUGGGUGCAAGCCUGAUCCAGCCAUGCCGCGUGCGGGAAGAAGGCCUUCGGGUUGUAAACCGCUUUGGCAGGAACGAAACGGCGACUUCUAAUACGGGUCGUUAAUGACGGUACCUGCAGAAUAAGCACCGGCUAACUACGUGCCAGCAGCCGCGGUAAUACGUAGGGUGCAAGCGUUAAUCGGAAUUACUGGGCGUAAAGCGUACGCAGGCGGCUUUGCAAGACAGGUGUGAAAUCCCCGGGCCUAACCUGGGAACUGCAUUUGUGACUGCAUGGCUAGAGUCUGUCAGAGGGGGGUGGAAUUCCACGUGUAGCAGUGAAAUGCGUAGAGAUGUGGAAGAACACCGAUGGCGAAGGCAGCCCCCUGGGAUGAGACUGACGCUCAUGUACGAAAGCGUGGGGAGCAAACAGGAUUAGAUACCCUGGUAGUCCACGCCCUAAACGAUGUCUACUAGUUGUCGGAGGGUAGCUCCUUCGGUAACGC